CCGAAAGAGCUAGAAGUAUCCAAAGAACCAGAUCUUAGAAGUCAAGGUUUAUGUUUAGUACCAGUUUCGAGCACAUUUCCAGUGACACACGAUACUACAGUAGAUUUCUGGACUCCUACCUUUGGUGGGACUUUUAGAUAGAUCGAUAUAUAGAUGAAAAGGUUGCAUUAGAUCUUGGUCGACAUAUUUUAACCUAUAUACAUGAAAAUUUGUUGAUAAGAAAAUCACCGCAUUUUAAACGAAGAAGCAAAAUAAGUCAAUGGACAAGUGAAACGUGUUUGUCCAGUUAUUUAUAUUUUGAUUUACAACUAAUCUUCAAAUUAAUGUGUAACUGAAGAAUUAUAUAGAGGAUAUAUAUAAGAGUUACUGAAAUUUGAGAGGUAUGUUUUUUUUUCUUUUCACACGAUAACGUCUCUAAACACAUUUCGAAACACAUCUAGAGGAGUCUUCUUUUAUUGCUGUUAUACGAAAAUAUAAAUGAUAGAUAUUAAGUUUCUCGUUAUAGCAGAAUGUAUGGAUCUAUAUAGCUCAAGUAGACUUCAUUGCUUCAGAGAAGGAGAAAGAGCCAUUUAAUUAUGGCGGAAAGGAGCUUUUGUUUCUUCCUUUUUUAGUAUUUUAUUUAUUGGAAAGGAAUAUUAGAUUCCAUGAUUAAAAGAGAAUAAUUGCUGAUAUGCAUAUUUUGAUUGGUCAAGGGAGAAAAUAAAUCUUUAAGUAAGAUAUUUAUAACUUUAGAAUAAUGUUAGUGGAAGUAAGAUGAUGGGCCAACGCCGGUUUUCAUUUCUAUUUCUAUCAAUAAGUUAAAUUUUUUUUUUUUUUGUAAACUUUUGGUGUAAAACUUUCCAUGGUUUCAUCCCAAAACAAACGAAAAACGAAUCUUUUUACUCUUUAUUUAAGCGAAUAAAUUAGUAUCAUUUGUAUAAUUACAAGUUUUAAGACAUUCCAAUUUCAUGCUAAGUUGUAUUUUUUUCGGUAUUAACAAUUCAUUCUUCCAUAAGUUCCUCCAUAAGUUCUUGCAUGAUUCUUAUGUUUUUUCUCCUGAAUUUUUAAUAGAAAUAUUAAUUUUUUUCUGAAAUUAGGUGAAGAAGGAGAAAAUGAGUGACAGAAUCGCUGCUCUCCAACAAUUGGUUUCACCUUUCGGAAAGGUACUAUCUCUUUUUAGCUUUCAGAAAGAUGAUGAGUGUAUAUUAGUAUAUUUGUCUACUGUCAUUAUUACUUAUCAUAUUAUUAUAUCUUUAUUUAUUUAUUUUAUUUAUUUUUAUUUAUUUAUACAUGUAAAGUCUAUUCUAUAGAUAAUUUUUUUGGGGAUAAAUGAUUCAAAUACAACUCUAAGACCAUGAUUAAACCCCAGUCUCUUAACUAGAGUUUUUUAGUUUUGGCUAAGAGACGGUUUUUAUCUUUUCUUAGAUUUUAAUUAAAAAAACUAAGAAUCGUCUCUUAAAUAAGAGAUAUAAGAGCCGUCUCUUAGCCGAAAAAUGUAAAAAACAAACAAAAACAAAAAAAGUGUCAAAUCAUGAGUUAAAAACCUCUUCUAAGUGACUGUGGUUAAUCAUGCCCUUAGAUUUUGUUUCACUGAACCUCAUGUGGUUUUGUGUCAGACUGAUCAAGCCUCAGUGCUCUCUGAAGCCAUUGAAUACAUUAAGUUCUUACACCAACAAGUUUCAGUAAGUUAGCCCAUCCUUUAUUUCUAGUAAAUUACUUUUUUUGUUGCUACAUCUCUAAUAGUAGUUAUUGUAUUUCUACUGAUCGAUGUACAAACCUGCAAAUGAUUGUAAUUCAGGCUCUGAGUAACCCAUACAUGAAUAGUGGAGCUUCUUUACAGCAUCAACAGGUAAAAUUAUUAUACGACUGAAAUACCGUGCGGCUCGUAUUCUUUAUUACAUGUAUAUAUAUAUAUAUUUAUUUAAUGGUUGCUUCAUCUUCAAGAUUUGACAAAGCAUUAUUCCAAGAAACAAUGUAGCGAGACGGUGUGCAGUUAUCAAAAAACUAUAUUUAUGUUUUGUCUUUUUACAAUGAUGCAGAGUGAUCAUCCGAAAGAGCUAGAAGUAUCCAAAGAACCAGAUCUUAGAAGUCAAGGUUUAUGUUUAGUACCAGUUUCGAGCACAUUUCCAGUGACACACGAUACUACAGUAGAUUUCUGGACUCCUACCUUUGGUGGGACUUUUAGAUAGAUCGAUAUAUAGAUGAAAAGGUUGCAUUAGAUCUUGGUCGACAUAUUUUAACCUAUAUACAUGAAAAUUUGUUGAUAAGAAAAUCACCGCAU
rnacentral:lncRNA from 1 species